CUCAUAAAGCAAAUUAGAAAUUUCUGAGAUGAGAGAAUAGGGCUAGGGCAAAUUUCCUCGAAUCGGACCAAAAAAAAAAAAAUUCCUCGAAUCGGUGGUGCUAGAUCUGACGGCGCCGGCGAUCGUCUCGGUACUCGGAGCCGGCGGUCGACUCGAAGAUGAGCAGGAUACCAUUACUUUGCUGUCCAGCUGUCGGGGUUUCUACUUUCUCAUUUGAAAUAUGCACUUGUUGAGCUGAAGUCCUAUACUAUCUCUCUUAUGCUAUGAACAUGACAUCCAGUUACUUAUGCUAUCCUGAAAUCAGAAAGCCCGUUGAAUUUUUGGAAUGUGGCCCAGUUGACCUGCCACAGUGAUACAGUGGUUUGUAUACUUGUGAAGUCCCCGAGGUCUACUGCUAAACAGCAAUAUUGGAUAUCUGCUUAAACAAGUGGCAGGAUUUGUUUGCAUUGGGACCAUGGCAAGAUUUCAGGGAGAGAAGUGCCUUAGGAACGCAGAUUUGAGGCAUAAACUAUACACUCUUGAGGAAUCUCAGAUUUGCCAUCUCUGGUAGAGCCAGAAAAUAUAUCAGUGGGGCACCCCAUGCCAAGACAUGGUGUGAGGUCAGAAACUGAAGAUGGAGAGGUGACAGGUAAUGGGUGAGGUCUGAAAGAGAGAGGAAAACUUACAACCAAAGAAACAGGGAAGACUGUUUGGUAAAUUUUUAAGGUGACUGUUGAAUCAUUCUACACUUUAUACUUAAAUACGUGAAAAUUUGAGAUUGGGCAUAGGGACGUGUUGCACCCCUAACUACAAUAUGCGAAGAAUAUGCUCUUUUCAUAGAGAGAUAGAGACCAAAAGGAGUUGAAAUUUACAUUUACUUCUACCUGUUUUAUUUUUGUUUUAUUCUGUGGCAACAUACUUUUCUUCCUGUUUAACUUGGUAGAUUGUGAUCUCUUUUGACCGUACCACUCACUUUGAAUGAAUAGAAACCAGGUAGGAUAAAUGGAUUUUCUUUAUUGAUCAAGUUGGUUGUUUGAUGCAUCUUCUUCACUUGGUUGGUCCCAAGACUAAUAUCCCAAGGCUUUUGUGUGUUCUUCUGUUCCUUGCAUGCAUAAGGCCUAUACGUAGAAAUUAAACCUUUCAAAAGGAAAUUCCUGACAAAGGAUUCUUGACUAACCCAUUUUAGUAUAGAUAAACAAAUAAACUGACCUUAUUCUUGUUAGUUUAUGAUCAAUCAAUUGGAUCUGCCUUAUCUGUUCUGCAUCAACUUUCCAUCAACACAGUUUGAUAUCCAAGACUGGCUAUUUUCCUAUAGACUGCAGUGUUUUCUGUUCUCUACUUUCUCUGCCUAUUCAUUUCUGGAUAUGGCUGGAUGUUACAUGGUUGAGACUGCCUGACUACCCUUUACACGUUGAUCUUUUACCUAGGAUACCAUUACUUUGCUGUCCAGCUGUGGGGCUUUCUACUUUGUCGUUUGAAAAAUGCACUUGUUGAGCUAAAGUUCUAUAUUAUUCCUCCUAUGCUAUGACCACGACAUCCAGUUAAUUAUGAUAAAAAAAGCCUGUUGGAUCUUUGACUGUGGCUCAGUCGACCAGCCACAGUGGUACAUUGGUUUACUGCUACACAUCAAUAUUCUGAAGUGUCAUCCAAGCCACACCAUGCAGAUUUUUUUUGCAUUGGGACAGUGGUAAGAUAUCAGAUCAACUAGGCUAGUUAGAUGUUGAUGAUGAUGAGUGAGGACGAAGGGUGAAAAACAGUAGAGGGGACCUUCAAGAUGGUGAGGAAAAUGGCAAAUCAAUGGGACCUUAAGACUUGUAUUGAGUGCUGCACACUACUGGUAAAUGGUGUUUUGGGAUUUUUUUUUUUUUUUUUUUAACAUUUAUCAGCUGUUUUUAGAUAUGUGAUUGUAUACCAGCAAAUCUGCCAAAUCAUAACAAAAA